GGGGGUUUAGCUCAGUUGGUAGAGCGCUUGCAUGGCAUGCAAGAGGUCAGCGGUUCGACCCCGCUAACCUCCACCA
rnacentral:tRNA from 1 species